UACGUAGGGGGCAAGCGUUGUCCGGAUUUAUUGGGCGUAAAGAGCGUGUAGGCGGCUUGGUAGGUCCGCUGUGAAAACUCGAGGCUCAACCUCGAGAUGUCGGCGGAAACCACUUGGCUAGAGUCCGGAAGAGGGGAGUGGAAUUCCUGGUGUAGCGGUGAAAUGCGCAGAUAUCAGGAAGAACACCUAUGGCGAAGGCAGCUCUCUGGGACGGUACUGACGCUGAGACGCGAAAGCGUGGGGAGCGAACAGG
rnacentral:rRNA from 1 species